rnacentral:rRNA from 1 species
AGCAGCCGCGGUAAUUCCAGCUCCAAUAGCGUAUAUUAAAGUUGUUGCAGUUAAAAAGCUCGUAGUUGAAUUUCGGGACUAAUAUGUCGGUCGUACUUUGUAUGUACUAGCAUUAUUGGUUUCUCCCUUCUGACGAACCACGAUGUCAUUAAUUUGGUGUCAUGGGAAAUCAGGACUGUUACUUUGAAAAAUUAGAGUGUUUAAAGCAAGCUCGCGCUUGAAUACAUUAGCAUGGAAUAAUAAAAUAGGACGUUUGAUUCUAUUUUGUUGGUUUCUAGGAUCGACGUAAUGAUUAAUAGGGAUAGUUGGGGGCAUUAGUAUUCAAUUGUCAGAGGUGAAAUUCUUGGAUUUAUUGAAGACUAACUACUGCGAAAGCAUUUGCCAAGGAUGUUUUCAUUAAUCAAGAACGAAAGUUAGGGGAUCGAAGACGAUCAGAUACCGUCGUAG